UACGUAGGGUGCAAGCGUUGUCCGGAAUUAUUGGGCGUAAAGAGCUCGUAGGCGGCUUGUCGCGUCGUCUGUGAAAUCCCGUGGCUCAACUGCGGGCUGGCAGUCGGUACGGGCAGACUAGAGUGCGGUAGGGGAGAUUGGAAUUCCUGGUGUAGCGGUGGAAUGCGCAGAUAUCAGGAGGAACACCGGUGGCGAAGGCGGGUCUCUGGGCCGAUACUGACGCUGAGGAGCGAAAGCGUGGGGAGCGAACAGG
rnacentral:rRNA from 1 species